CCACAGCUUAUUAAUAGUAUUUCAUCCUCUUAAUGUUCCAGAGUUCAUGGCUUACAGAAAUGGAUUUAAAUAGUACCUAUCUAUGUGAUUAAUUGAAUAAGUAAAUGUACAAAUAGUGGAAAUAAUUUCCUAAAUGAUAGUAGUAUUAUUAUUAAAAUAACCAUAUACCCAUGAACAAAUUAUGAAUAUUAAAACUAAAAUUAUCCUCAUUAAUUUAAACACAUAAUUAUUAACUAUUAUCUAUAUACACCAGGGCCUAAAAACUGUAUGAUGUUCAAAGACCACAUGAGUUGUCUGUUUGGUGAGGACUUGGAUUUACUGGGAGAAUGUGUUCAUAUGGUCUUUACAACACCAGUUGAAAACAAUCAAGCUGCACAAACUUGUCUUAACUACAAUUAUAAGAGAGUAAUAUUGGGACACCAGAACUGAAUCAAUCCAACAUUAACUACUAACAGCGAAAUAGGAGACAUUGUGAACCUGGUUUCAGUUUCGCCUAUAUGUUGAAAUAUACAUAGAACUAGAACUUCUUUCUGUCUAUGAUAUGUUGCUAAUGUUUAAAAAAAGUAUGCAAUUUUUCAAAUAAUUUAAUAUAAUUAUAUUAAUCAAAUUGUUAUUAUAGGUACACGUGGUUGACUGGUACAGACAAGUAUUCAAUACAGAAAGGCUAAUAACUACACAGUACAGGACUAUGACAAAACUGUAUGUAAGUAUAGCACUGAUAAAUUAGGUUUUAUUCUUAAAUGAUAGUAUAAUAUAACUAGAAUAAUAAAAAUAACUCAUCAUCUUGCCUUCCAGAAAAAAGUCCUCUUUUAAUUUAAUUAUAGUUGCUUUUACUCUAAAGCAAAAAUAAAGUGAGUUUUACAUAUACUGCAGUAGGUUAAUUAUAUCACCAUUAGAGUAAGACAGCACAUGCAAGUAAGGCAUCCUUUAAAAACUGUUAUUUUAUUAUUGUUUUUCAGAUUCUUUGUAUUUUAUCAAGAUUAAGGAUUUUUAUGUGGACCUGAUAAGUAAACCAGGAUUACUGGAAUAUGGACACAGCUGACCUGUCAAAAGACCACCUGUGCUAUGUAGCAGAGCGGAAAAAAAAUACCUGGAUUGUUUUCAGAUGAGUCAGAUGGAAAAAACAAUCGCUGAGUUUUGUGCAUCUAAAAACCAGACCUGGUAUUUAAAGUUCAAAAUAUAUCUCCGGAAUUUCAGUGCAAGUAUUUCAAUAAUAUGCAGUAGUGUAUUAAGUCCCCCCCCUAAAAGGCUGUAUUUUUCUAAUUAUUUUUAUUGACAUAUUAAAGUAGGUCAGUGUUGGUAUCUAUGUGGGCAUAGAUAAAUUCUUCUCAAAAAAUAAGAAUCUAAAAAUUCCGAAAAACCAGUGUUCCCAAAUUUUGGGAAAAAAAAAAAUUUCUCAGUACUUCAUAAUACAUAAAGUUCACAAAUUAAUUAAUGAAAAUAAAAUCAAAAUAAACUAAUACAUAUCAGAGAAUAACUAUGACACUAUUAACUAAUUUAUUUUUAUUAGUAUUUGUUCAAUUAUAUAAAAAAAAAUUUAAUGUAUCAAGUAUACAUUAAAUUCUAUAUACAAUAUACUUGUAAACAAUGAUAAAUCAUUGCUAAAGAUCAAUAGUGGAUUUCAGUUUAUUUCAUUUAUUAUUUUAUAAAUAUGUAUAUACAAAUGAAACUAGCCAAAUUAAAAAACCUCACAAUAAGUAGCUAAAUAACUACAUAUUAGUACAUAGAAAUUAUAGAAAACAUUAACCAGAAUAAAAUAAGAAAAAAUAAUCUAAAAAAAUAAACAAAAAUUAAAUCAUAGCAUAGCCAGUUUGAAACAAACUUUCUUUUCAGAGUUCUUAAAAAUAUCAAUGUUUCCAUAUAUUUCUUUUGUAAGUUCUCAAAAGUAAUCAUAUAAGAAAUGUGUGUACCAAUUAAAUUAGAAUACAUAACCAUUCAUUUUACAAAGUCUAUUAUGUCUUCGUACAAUUGUAAUGCCACCUUUUCCAUAAUGCUAUCCAUUUGGUUUUGUUGAUAUUUUCGAUUUUUUUUGUUUUAUUCAACAAGAAUUAUAUUGAUAAAUAAUCCAUGAGGAAUUAUAUGUUCUAAGAAUUAUUUUCUAUGUUCAAGAAAAAAUCAAUGUUUGCAUUUGUCUCUUGUGAGUACCAAAAAAAAUAAUUUACGAAGUGUACCAAUGAAAUUAGAGUACAUAGCCACUUAUUUUUACAAAGUUUAUAACAUCAGAACCAGAUUGUUAGGCCACCAUGUCUACGUUUAUGAUUUGCCCAGGCCAUCUAUAGGGUAUAUUUUUUGUUUUGACUUUUUAUAGGAACAAAAUAAUAAUGAUAAUACAUACCCGAUGUGGAAGUUGAUUUAAGCUUUCUAUUCAAAAGUGUUAAAUUUUUCUCGCUAUUGACUUUUAUGAGUGGCCACAGGCCUUUUUUUGGUGAUAUUUUUUGUUUAAAUUUGUUCAAUGGAACUGAAUUAUGAUGAUAAAUUAUCAUCGAUGUGGAACAUGUCCAAAGCUUUCUUUUCAAAGUCUUNUUUGACUUUUUAUAGGAACAAAAUUAUAAUGAUAAUACAUACCCGAUGUAGAAGUUGAUUUAAGCUUUCUAUUCAAAAGUGUUAAAUUUUUCUCGCUAAUGACUUUUAUGACUUGCCACAGGCCAUUUUUUGGUGAUAUUUUUUGUUUAAACUUGUUCAAUGGAACUGAAUUAUGAUGAUGAAUUAUCAUCGAUGUGGAUUAUGUCUAAAGAUUUCUUUUCAAAAACUUUGAAAAUAUUAUUGUACCAAUUUAUCGGUUUUUAAGUACAUAAAAUUUAUCAUAUAACAAUUGUGCGUACUAUUAAGAGUGUACCAAUUAAAUUGGAAUNCAGGCCAUUUUUUGGUGAUAUUUUUUGUUUAAACUUGUUCAAUGGAACUGAAUUAUGAUGAUAAAUUAUCAUCGAUGUGGAACAUGUCCAAAGCUUUCUUUUCAAAAACUUUGAACAUAUUAUUGUACCAAUUUAUCGGUUUUUAAGUUCAUAAAAUUUAUCAUAUAACAAUUGUGCGUACUAUUAAGAGUAUACCAAUUAAAUUGGAAUACGUUGCUACUUUUUUAAAAAAGUUUAUUGCCUCUGAACUGGAACGUAAGGCCACCAUGUCUACGUUUAUGAUUUGCCCAGGCCAUCUAUAGGGUAUAUUUUUUGUUUNAAAUUAAUGAAUUGUACCCAGUAAAUUAGAAUACAGAGCUGCCUUUUAUUCUAGGUUUUUUUGCGUCCAAACUGGAAUGUAACGCAACCUUGUCUAUAUUUAUGACUUGCCACAUGCCAUCCAUAGGUUAUAUUUUUGUUGUUUUACCUUUUUUAAAGGAACAAUAUUAUAAUGAUAAAUAAUAAACGAUGUGGAAAUUGUUUUAUGCUUUUUUUUUCAAAAGUAUUAAAUUUGUCUCGCUGUUGACUUUUAUUACUUGCCACAGGCUAUUUUUUGGUGAUAUUUUUUGUUUAAAUUUGUUCAAUGGAACUGAAUUAUGAUGAUGAAUUAUCAUCGAUGUGGAUUAUGUCUAAAGAUUUCUUUUCAAAAACUUUGAAAAUAUUAUUGUACCAAUUUAUCGGUUUUUAAGUUCAUAAAAUUUAUCAUAUAACAAUUGUGCGUACUAUUAAGAGUGUACCAAUUAAAUUGGAAUACGUUGCUACUUUUUUAAAAAAGUUUAUUGCCUCUGAACUGGAACGUAAGGCCACCAUGUCUACGUUUAUGAUUUGCCCAGGCCAUCUAUAGGGUAUAUUUUUUGUUUUGACUUUUUAUAGGAACAAAAUUAUAAUGAUAAUACAUACCCGAUGUAGAAGUUGAUUUAAGCUUUCUAUUCAAAAGUGUUAAAUUUUUCUCGCUAAUGACUUUUAUGACUUGCCACAGGCCAUUUUUUGGUGAUAUUUUUUGUUUAAACUUGUUCAAUGGAACUGAAUUAUGAUGAUAAAUUAUCAUCGAUGUGGAACAUGUCCAAAGCUUUCUUUUCAAAAACUUUGAACAUAUUAUUGUACCAAUUUAUCGGUUUUUAAGUUCAUAAAAUUUAUCAUAUAACAAUUGUGCGUACUAUUAAGAGUAUACCAAUUAAAUUGGAAUACGUUGCUACUUUUUUAAAAAAGUUUAUUGCCUCUGAACUGGAACGUAAGGCCACCAUGUCUACGUUUAUGAUUUGCCCAGGCCAUCUAUAGGGUAUAUUUUUUGUUUUGACUUUUUAUAGGAACAAAAUUAUAAUGAUAAUACAUACCCGAUGUAGAAGUUGAUUUAAGCUUUCUAUUCAAAAGUGUUAAAUUUUUCUCGCUAUUGACUUUUAUGAGUGGCCACAGGCCUUUUUUUGGUGAUAUUUUUUGUUUAAAUUUGUUCAAUGGAACUGAAUUAUGAUGAUAAAUUAUCAUCGAUGUGGAACAUGUCCAAAGCUUUCUUUUCAAAAACUUUGAACAUAUUAUUGUACCAAUUUAUCGGUUUUUAAGUACAUAAAAUUUAUCAUAUAACAAUUGUGCGUCCCAUANUGAUAUUUUUUGUUUAAACUUGUUCAAUGGAACUGAAUUAUGAUGAUAAAUUAUCAUCGAUGUGGAACAUGUCCAAAGCUUUCUUUUCAAAGUCUUUGAAAAUAUCAUUGUACCAAUUUAUCGUUAUUAUGUUCAUAAAAUUUAUCAUAUAACAAUUGUGCGUACCAUAAUUAUUGUACCAAUUAAAUUGGAAUACAUAGCUAUUUUUUUAAAAAAGUUUAUCAAUAAUUAUAUUGAUUAAUAAUUCACUUUAUUGAUAUAUAUAUAUAUAUUUUACAAUCUGAGGAAUCUUUUCAAUGUCCAUAAAUAUCUAUGUUUUGAUUUGUCUCUUUUGUGAGGUCACAAAAAAAAAAAUUAAUGAAUUGUACCCAGUAAAUUAGAAUACAGAGCUGCCUUUUAUUCUAGGUUUUUUUGCGUCCAAACUGGAAUGUAAUGCAACCUUGUCUAUAUUUAUGACUUGCCACAGGCCAUCCAUAGGUUAUAUUUUUGUUGUUUUACCUUUUUUAAAGGAACAAAAUUAUAAUGAUAAAUAAUAAACGAUGUGGAAAUUGUUUUAUGCUUUUUUCUCAAAAGUAUUAAAUUUGUCUCGCCAUUGACUUUUAUUACUUGCCACAGGCCAUUUUUUGGUGAUAUUUUUUGUUUAAACUUGUUCAAUGGAACUGAAUUAUGAUGAUGAAUUAUCAUCGAUGUGGAUUAUGUCUAAAGAUUUCUUUUCAAAAACUUUGAAAAUAUUAUUGUACCAAUUUAUCGGUUUUUAAGUUCAUAAAAUUUAUCAUAUAACAAUUGUGCGUACUAUUAAGAGUGUACCAAUUAAAUUGGAAUACGUUGCUACUUUUUUAAAAAAGUUUAUUGCCUCUGAACUGGAACGUAAGGCCACCAUGUCUACGUUUUUGAUUUGCCCAGGCCAUCUAUAGGGUAUAUUUUUUGUUUUGACUUUUUAUAGGAACAAAAUAAUAAUGAUAAUACAUACCCGAUGUGGAAGUUGAUUUAAGCUUUCUAUUCAAAAGUGUUAAAUUUUUCUCGCUAAUGACUUUUAUGACUUGCCACAGGCCAUUUUUUGGUGAUAUUUUUUGUUUAAACUUGUUCAAUGGAACUGAAUUAUGAUGAUAAAUUAUCAUCGAUGUGGAACAUGUCCAAAGCUUUCUUUUCAAAGUCUUUGAAAAUAUCAUUGUACCAAUUUAUCGGUUAUUAUGUUCAUAAAAAUUAUCAUAUAACAAUUGUGCGUACCAUAAUUAUUGUACCAAUUAAAUUGGAAUACAUAGCUAUUUUUUUAAAAAAGUUUAUCAAUAAUUAUAUUGAUUAAUUAUUCACUUUAUUGAUAUAUAUAUAUAUAUUUUACAAUCUGAGGAAUCUUUUCAAUGUCCAUAAAUAUCUAUGUUUUGAUUUGUCUCUUUUGUGAGUUCACAAAAAAAUAAUUAAUGAAGUGUACAUAGAUUACAUAGCUACUUUUUAUUUAAAGUUUAUUUCGUCUGAACUGGAACGUAAGGCCACCAUGUCUAUGUUUAUGACUUACCACAGGACAUCUAUAAGUGAUAUUUUGUGAUGUCAUCUUGUCCAUGUUUACGACUUGCUAUGCAAUUGGUUUUGAUAAAAAUUUCAAUUUUUCUUGUUUAAUUGAACAAGAAUUUCAUUGAUAAAUUAUUUAUGGGGUAUUGAAUGUUCUACUCGUUUUUUUCUAUGUCCUUGAAAAUAUAUAUGUUUCUAUUUAUCAUUUUUGUGAGUUUACAAAAGAAAUCAUUUGAAAAGUGUAGAAUAAUCAGUGUACUAAUAAAAAUAAAAUACAUACAGUCAAUUUUUUACAAAGUCCUUUUUGUCUUAGCACUAAUGUAAUACCACCUUUCCCGUGUUGCUGUCCACUUGGUUUUGAUUAUAUUUUCGUUUUUUCUUGUUUAAUUGAACAAGAAUUAUAUUGACAAAUUAUCCAUGAUGUAUUAUAUUUUCUAUGCAUUAUUUUCUAUGUCCUUGAAGAUAUCUAUGCUUCCAUUUAUUUCUUUUGUUAGUUCCCAAAAAAAAAUUAUUUAUUAAGUAUAUCAAUUAAUUACAUAGUACAUAGCCAUUAUUUUUGAAAUAAUUUGUUUUAUAUGGGAGAUUAUUUAUAAUUAGUUAAUUUUAGACAUAGAUAUUUUAAGAAUUAUAUAUUUGUUGGUUCUUAAUUAAAAUCUUAAAUGUUUUGUUAUGAUAUGUUAUUUUUAAUGUGGGUUCGAACAUUAUUAUAAAAAAUAUUAAUUUUAUUAUAAAUGUUAUUGAAAUCAUUUUUCUUUAUUUUAUUGUAUAUGUGUAAUUCUUCUAAAACUGAAUUAAUGUAAUUCCAUUUCGUGUAUUUAGUAUUUUUAAGUCUGUAUUUAUGUCAAUUUUAUAUUAUGAUUAUUUUCUAAAAUAUGUUUAUCAAAAUUUGUAUUGGUAGCUAUUUUUAGAUACAAUAUAGAAAUAUUUUUUUUUUAAUAGUAGAGUAUAUUUAAAACUGGUCAUUAUUAGACAUAGAUAUGUUCAAAAAUAUAAUUUAUUUGGUUAUUAUGUAUUAUCUAAAAUGUAUUAAUAUAAGAUAUUAUUUUUAAAAAAGAUUUGAAUAUUUAAAAUAUUAUUAAAAUCAGUUUUUUUUAUUUCUUUGUAUAUUUGUAAUUCUUUGUGUAAAAUUGAUGUAAAUGUUAUUUUGGGUAUUGAUUAUUUCUAUGUUUGUAUUAAUAUUUAAACUUAUGUUAUGGUGAUUUACUAAAACAUUAUUAGCAAAAUUUGAAUUAGUGGCAAUCUUUUUAUUUUUUUCAGAACUGUGUUUUUUUAUAUCUUAUUUUAAAAUUUCUAAUUUGUCUUACCUAUAUACAAUUUAUGACAGUUACAUUUAAGUUUAUAUGUACCAGCUUUUUCAUAAGAAAAGAGAUUUUUUGUGAAGUUUGUAGUUCUAUUGUUUGUAUGUUUGAUUAAAUUAUUAUUAGUCUUAAAAGUGAUUUUUAUAUUAUUUGUUUAAUUAUGCACAAUUAUAGCA